AUGCUGAAUCUGAAAAAUGGAGACAUGGCACAAGGAAACAGGAAGGGCGAAGACCCUGAAACGAGAGCACGCCUUGGGUGUGUGCAAGCAGCAAGGAGGAGGUCAGAGCGGUAUGAAGUGAGUGAGUGGUGUGCGGUGGUGAUGCGAUUCCAGAGGCGCCAGCGCAACCGGAUCCAGAAGAGCCUGAUGGAUUUGAGGAGUCUAGUGGGAGUGUCUGAACUGAGGACUCUGAGCUUUGUCCUGCCCAAGGACUUGGACUUGGUGAGUGGCGAAAGACUGUGUGACUGAAGUUCGAUGAACGGGGCUCCACCCAUCAGGGAAGGUGGCUUCACAGCCCACUGGGUCCAGGGAAUACCUGUGAGCAAAUGCCUCUGGCCAUGGAUUGCUAAGCCCAGCUUUUGAGAGCCCAGGAUCAUGGAGCUAGAAACUAAGAAUGGGGAAAACAGGGUCCUUGUCAGCCAGAACCAAAAUGUCCUCCCUUGAUCCUGGAGAAAGUCCCAGAAGGGAAAUUCAGAUGGUAUUCUGCAGAGCAGGGGGGGCUGCUCCCAGCAGGAAAGGCUGAUCUACCUAUGGAUCACCCCAGUCCCCCCAUCAACCACUCCAUUCCCACCCAUGGGCUGUCUUGGACCCUCCCGACCAAUCUGACUAGAACUCCACCUGCCUCUGCGUGUCUCCCUAAACAUCCUGUGUUCCUCUGCCCACCUGGGUUGGAGCUGAAAUUCCCUAUGGAACUUCCCAGGUCACUCUGACUCCAAACCGGUGCUGGAACGCAGCACUCCAGGGCUCUCCAGAGAGAAUUCCAGACCUUCCCUGAGUUGCUUCUCAUGUGGCCACAGGACCCCCGUUCACCUCUAUAAGGUGAGUCACUUCUAUCUUCCCCGCAGGGCUCCAUGCAGGAGCCUCAAGGCACUACCAUCAGAGAAGCACCAGCUCAGUGAGUGGUUCCGUUGCGUUUGGCGUGGUUUGCUCUGAAAGCCUGAUGUCCCUCCUACAGCCCCUCCCUGUUAGGACCAUGCUUCCCACCCACUGACAGCGGGUUUGGCAACUGACUUGUUUUGGCCAAAGGAAUCUGAGUGGAAGUACCAUGUGCCUCUUCCAAGUGGAACAUAAGGAGCCAUCAUGUGGUUCUCCCAUUGCUCUUUUUCUCUCGCCUGGGAGACUGGUAGGUCCCACAGACUGACUGCUUCUGAAUCCUGAGACCCUAAGUGCACAGAGCUGAGGCCAGCUUGCAGUGGACUUUAGACGCAGGUGAGAAAUAAUCCUUUGCUGUCAUACAGCACUGAGAGUUGGGAUUGUUUGUUUCAGCAACAUCUCUUAGCCCACGCUGACUGAUACAAGCACAACAGACCAGGGGUGAUUGUUGGUUUCUCACCGUCUCCCCGGAAGGAAGAGGCAUCCAUCAGGCUUAGUAUACAUAGUGAAUUAGGAAGAGAAAUUCUCCAAAUUUCAGAAGCACAGGAGGGGACCAAGGACCGUGGCUGGGAGUGUCACUGCCAGGAGUGAAGGAGCAGAGGGAGGGGUGGGCAGGUGGAAACCCUGGAUGUUCUGGGCUGAAGACCUAGAGGGACCCAGUGAUGCUGCGUUCUUGGCAGUGUUUCAGUGUAAAAAUAGUAUCAUUACUUAUCUUCCAAGUCCUUCUUUUUUCAUUUUAAAAAAUAUUUCUUUAUUUAUUUGACUGUGCCGGGUCUUAGUUGCAGCUUGAGGGAUAUUUUCUUUUUUAGUUGUGACAUGCAAACUCUUAAUGGCAGAAUGUGGGAUCUAUUUCCCUGACCAGGGACCAAACCGAGGUCCCCUGCAUUAGGAUCAGAGUCUUAGCCACUGGCUCAGCAGGGAAGUCCCCUAAGUCUUUCAGUAAUAAUGAAAUUUUGUGAG
rnacentral:lncRNA from 1 species